CAACAGAGUGUUGUGGUGUUAUUGCAUUCUUGGAUGAAGAAUGUGUGGUUAAUGGGGGAUUCCCUGCUAUCCGAGGAUUUGGAAUGAAUCGUGGUUCCCGUUAUACAUCCUUGAAAUUGAGCUGUUCGAAGGAUUACAUUCUACAUUGUGUUGUCGACUCAACCAGGCUCUGCCAAGGCUACGUUUCAUUACGGUUCUUGUGGAGUCUGAACUACAUGGAUUGAACUUCGCUUGUGGGAAGUAAUUGGAUGUCAAAAUCUUGCCAGGACUACGUCACCCUCUACACAAAGAUGGAAAUCUGCCAUCCCAUCUUCCUAGGUUCUGGAUGUUCACUAGGACAGCAUUGUCAUUACAAGCACCAUUUCUAUAAUUCAAGAACACCCGUUUUUUUAUUCUACAACUUUUAAAUGAGGUGAGAAUGGAGCCUGGUGUCAGAUAUAUUUCACUUUGACACACCUUGCCCUAAAUUACUGGUUGGAUAGUGUAAUUAGUUAUGUGGGACUUUAAUUAUGGUAAUAAAUGUACAUGAAAAUAUCACCCUUACCAAUAAUAUCUCUGGCAAAAGAGUAUGUACCUUUUUAUUAAUCCCAGACAAAAUAUCCUAGAAUUUUUUAACAGGUUUUCACCGAAGUUUAAAAUACUGAGACUGGGCUAAUGUGAUGUUGAUUUUAUAAAACCAAAUCACUGACCAAAUAUCCUAUCACUUGGUGAUAUUAAUAUAAGGAAACAGGUAUGGUGGUUUUUUCUAUGAAAUACCUGAAACUAGGAUGGUCUGUAUAUAUUAUUAGAAAAACCCAGUAAUUUCAGAAAUUCUUGGUAUUGUCCAAACGUUUAAUG